rnacentral:rRNA from 1 species
AGAAUCAACGCUGGCGGCGUGCCUAACACAUGCAAGUCGCACGAGAAAGGGGCUUCGGCUCUGAGUAAAGUGGCGCGCGGGUGAGUAACACGUGAAUUAUCUACCUCCGAGUGGGGAAUAACUGAGAGAAAUCUUAGCUAAUACCGCAUAACACUUACGAGUCAAAGCAGCAAUGCGCUUGGAGAGGAGUUCGCGGCCGAUUAGUUAGUUGGCGGGUAAUGGCCCACAAGACGAUGAUCGGUA